rnacentral:rRNA from 1 species
AACGAACGCUGGCGGCAGGCUUAACACAUGCAAGUCGAGCGCCCCGCAAGGGGAGCGGCAGACGGGUGAGUAACGCGUGGGAAUCUACCCAUCUCUACGGAAUAACGCAUGGAAACGUGUGCUAAUACCGUAUACGUCCUUCGGGAGAAAGAUUUAUCGGAGAUGGAUGAGCCCGCGUUGGAUUAGCUAGUUGGUGGGGUCAAGGCCUACCAAGGCGACGAUCCAUAGCUGGUCUGAGAGGAUGAUCAGCCACACUGGGACUGAGACACGGCCCAGACUGCUACGGGAGGCAGCAGUGGGGAAUAUUGGACAAUGGGCGCAAGCCUGAUCCAGCCAUGCCGCGUGAGUGAUGAAGGCCCUAGGGUUGUAAAGCUCUUUCACCGGUGAAGAUAAUGACGGUAACCGGAGAAGAAGCCCCGGCUAACUUCGUGCCAGCCGCCGCGGUAAUAC